UACGGGAGGCAGCAGUGAGGAAUAUUGGUCAAUGGGCGAGAGCCUGAACCAGCCAAGUAGCGUGCAGGAUGACGGCCCUAUGGGUUGUAAACUGCUUUUAUACAGGGAUAAAGUCAGUUACGUGUAACUGUUUGUAGGCACUGUAUGAAUAAGGACCGGCUAAUUCCGUGCCAGCAGCCGCGGUAAU
rnacentral:rRNA from 1 species